UAAUCUGAUUUGAUCCUGAAAGUUUGUAGUGUAAAAUUUAGAGCCCAUUAUCACUCUAGUUGUGGGCACGUGAGACUUCCCGGCGCACCCAUCUUGCCAGCGCCACCAUCGUCGUCGUAACAUAACUCUGCACGCUCAUCCGCGGUUAUCGAGGAGUUCAAUCGACCGGGUUCUUUCUUCCCCCUCGUUCUCGGACUCCUCUGGCCUAGGAGUAUAAGACCCGAAGCACCCUGACCCCCUCCAUUCUGCAUAUGCGCAAAGAAACCAAGCUACCAUGGAUCAAACACACACAGAUACAGAGAAGUAGUGAAGAGUGGCCGUCGUCAUGGAUGUGUGCUUUCACCAUCGUCAGGGUCAGGGAGACUCGCCCUAUCCCGGCGGAUGUUUCCGUGGCGUCGUUGGGCGGAUAGGGCCACCUGCUCCGACUGAAUUGCUCACCGGAGUAUCAAACCCGCCGCAGAUCGACCUGCGCGCGUGGACUACGUCAUCUGUGCCUAUACCGUCGGUGAGGAUUUUCUUUCCUAGUCCGUUAUCGUCUACUCAUUGUGCAUCAUCUUUCGGAUUGGAACCUCGUGCGUAGAAUUGAGAUUGGGCAAAAUGCCAGUGAGGGCGCCGCCGUGGGUGGUGACGGACCACCGUGGGGCCCGGUCGGGGCGAAGAAGAAUGGCCCUGACCGUUGAUUAGGGACUGAACGGUCCCGAUUAGAUCGAGGAGUAUCGUUUCGGGUAUUUGAUCUGGACCGUGGGCUUUGGAUCCAAGGGCUAGAACAGUUUAAAGUAGGAGAGGGAUUUCUAGCUGUGGAUGUUUGAUCCUAUGGUGUCCGUCGCGUACCAAUUCAUUAAAAUGUUAGAUCUAAUCUGAGCCAUCGAUCAACAAUCGGACGAUUCACAUCUCUGCGAACCCCUUCAUCGCGUUCCAAUUAUAAAAGAGACCCUAGACUUUCCAAUAACUAACCCACCGUCCAUUUUUAUGUGGAAAGAAAAUAAAAUUAAAUGAAGACUUUGCAUAUUUCCCCUGGAGUUUAUUUUAGGCAUAAAAAAUAACACAGAAGUGCAUAAAAACUUAGGAAAAUCAUAACUUAUCCAUUUUAAUUCUGAUUGACCAGUUCCAAUUGCAUUAGCUUCAUAAAAAUAUUUCCUAUGCAGUAACAACAUCAUUUAUACCAUAUCACAUAUUUGUAUAAUUAUAUGUUUAUUUGACCUAUGUUUAUUAACUCUUCUAAUCAAAAGUUAACAUGCCCGUAAUUAUAAUUUGACCGUAAUUUGCUCUCUAAUCAAGUUAUAACUCAGAUUUAAGUUAAAUUGGCUAUGUCUUUGUAAACUUUUCUCACAUUGUAUUUAGUCACCUAAAACUUCGGAAAUUCAUAUCUUUUUAACCAUAACUCUGAUUGUAAUGGUUCUCGAACCUACGAUCUCAUAGCGACGCGUAGAAUAUUCUUACAUAGUUUGUUCUUAUGCUUUGGUGUAAUGUUAUCAUAUCCAUUAUUUGCUUGAUUGUAUGUCUUGCUACGAGUAGAUGCGAGGUGACGAUGAACUUGAAGUCCAACCUUUGGGUCAACAUCUGAACUACAAGGUUAUCUCAAGUAUAAGGUAAGUUGUGCCCUUGAUCACUCUUAUUUAUCUAAUAAUGUUCCUGUUAAUCACUGUGACAUGCUCAGGUUAAUUUGAUGGGACCUAAUAGGUUACCCUAGUUUUGUUUACCCCACACCUUUCAAACAAAUGAAUUAUUGGGUAGAUUGGCUAUGCUCUACCUGGUUUUUGGGAAGUAAUGCUAUAUGACAUAUGAUCAUGCUUUAUCAUUGUUACUAGAUUAUUUAUUGUUCAUGACAAGAAUAUGGUGUUAAUUGGAACAUUGAGCUUAACUUGAGAUAACAGUGCUACCACAAGGUAGGAAUGGGACGCCCUUGGCUGGCUAAUUAGGAAAGCUAGUGGAGGACUACCUUACCCGAAAGGGGCAAGGGAGAUAGUGGAGUUACCGGUGUAAGAACGUUCUCGGGUCGAUCUUGCUGCGAUAGCUUUUCGGACAAGGGAUUGCUAUAUCGCUCUUCUCCCGAAAUCAUAACGGGUUUUCUGAAGCUAGUGAAAGUUUGUAAAGAUCUCGUAGUGGAUGCCUAGCCAUUCACCUCGGGAGUGUCUAAGGGCCUUGCAAACUCUGGCUAGACAUGAUACACGACUUGUGGGUAAAGGACACAACCUCUGUAGAGUGUAAAACUGAUAUAUCAGUCGUGCUCACGGUCAAGAGCGACUCAAAACUCUUGCAUGAUUAAUUUAUGAAAUUAAACUUAAUCUGGCAUUUGCAUUGCAUUGUGUGAUUUAUUAUCAAUUGUGAUCAAUUAUUUAAUUGGGAUGGUAUCUACUUAUACUUAGUAACUGCUAAUAAAAUUUUGACCAACUUUUUAAAAGCAAUGCUCAGGCUUAACCAUUCUUCUUGGUAAGCCUUACACUUCACAUGAGCCCCACCGUAAGUGAGAUCAUGCACAUUAUUUCCCACAUCUUGUUGAGCAAUGAACGUAUGUGAGCUCACCCUUGGUGUACUUACCCCUAGGUCAAGGACAGGUACCACAAGGUAAGGAGCAUGAAGGAUGUCGCGAUAAGUUCGUGAGAGGUCUAGGCAGUCGUCUCCCAGUCAACUAUGGUUGCGGAGGAUCGCUGUGUUCAUCUGAUGUAAUUAUUUAGUUCUUUUGUAUAGAACUCCUAUAAAGUAAUAAAGAUGUGACAUUUCUUUCUGUACCAUGAGUCAUCAUAUGUGUGAGACUUGAUCCUAUGUAACGCCCUGAAUUUGGGGGGGUAGAUUUUUUUCUUCUUUUCACUAACCAAAUUCGGGCGUUACUCUCUUUUCUCUUUCCGUUUCUCUCCUUCUUCCCAAUUUCAAACUAGUAUAAUGACGGGUGUCCGUGUCAUGUAUAAACAAAACCUAAGUGUCAUGAGUAUUGCAUCAUGCCGAAGCAUAUUUCUUUGUC
rnacentral:lncRNA from 1 species